AACGCUGGCGGCGCGCUUAACACAUGCAAGUCGAGCGAGAACCAAGCCUUCGGGCUUGGGGACAGCGGCGAACGGGUGAGUAACACGUGGGUAAUCAACCCUCGACACUGGGAUAGCCCGGGGAAACCCGGAUUAAUACCGGAUACCCCAUCUCGCCUUCGGGCCGGCUGGAAAAGGUAGCUUUUGCAUCCGGUCGAGGACGAGCCCGCGGCGGAUUAGAUUGUUGGUGGGGUAAAAGCCCACCAAGGCGACGAUCCGUAGCUGGUCUGAGAGGCCGAUCAGCCACACUGGGACUGAGACACGGCCUAGACUCCUACGGGAGGCAGCAGUGGGGAAUCUUGCGCAAUGGGCGAAAGCCUGACGCAGCGACGCCGCGUGAGGGAAGAAGGCCUUCGGGUUGUAAACCUCUUUCAGAAGGGACGAAGCCACUCGGGUUAAUAGCCCAGAGGGUGACGGUACCUUCAGAAGAAGCCCCGGCUAACUACGUGCCAGCAGCCGCAGUAACAC
rnacentral:rRNA from 1 species